CGGGACUUAUUGGAAACACUGGUUAUUUCUGCCCAGUAAACUGGAGGCACACAAGGUAACCAUUCGCUUACGGCCAUUUUACCAGAACUGAGCCAGGUCUGAGAAGAUUCAGUGCUGGUUUCCCUAUCACUCCCUGUUUCACCUUGAGAAAAGCCUCCUGGUUCCAGGAAACUGAGUCGCCAUGAGCCUUCUUCCGGUAGCCACAUCUAUUUUUUAAUCCUUCCGUACUAAUUCAAAUGAGUCUGGGGGCACAAGAAUUUUAACGUAGGGAGUAGGGUGGUUGGGAGCAAACUGAUGUGUUAACCUACCAUUUCAAGGUUUAAUACUGGCUGGGCUGUGGAGUUAGCAUUGCCUGAGGUGGGUCAGCUGGGCCCUCCUACUACUCAUCCUUCAAAUGACACUGAGCAUGGCCUUUGCACACACUGCUGAGUGUCUCGUGGUAUGCAGCACGCAAGACCAGCAAGACCAUAUAUGGGUCUUGUGUGCCAAGAAAAAGGCGUGGCAGAGCAUAACCCAUAAAUAAUAAGGUACAUGGCACCUUCUUAUUCCAAGAGAAGAC
rnacentral:lncRNA from 1 species